GACGAACGCUGGCGGCGUGCCUAAUACAUGCAAGUCGAACGAGAGCGACCGGUGCUUGCACUGGUCAAUCUAGUGGCGAACGGGUGAGUAACACGUGGGUAACCUGCCCAUCAGGGGGGGAUAACAUUCGGAAACGGAUGCUAAAACCGCAUAGGUUCUUUAGUCGCAUGACUGAAGAAGGAAAAGAGGCUUCGGCUUCUGCUGAUGGAUGGACCCGCGGUGCAUUAGCUAGUUGGUGAGGUAACGGCUCACCAAGGCCGUGAUGCAUAGCCGACCUGAGAGGGUGAUCGGCCACAUUGGGACUGAGACACGGCCCAAACUCCUACGGGAGGCAGCAGUAGGGAAUCUUCCGCAAUGGACGCAAGUCUGACGGAGCAACGCCGCGUGAGUGAAGAAGGAUUUCGGUUCGUAAAACUCUGUUGUUAGAGAAGAACAGCGCAUAGAGUAACUGUUAUGCGUGUGACGGUAUCUAACCAGAAAGCCACGGCUAACUACGUGCCAGCAGCCGCGGUAAUACGUAGGUGGCAAGCGUUGUCCGGAUUUAUUGGGCGUAAAGCGAGCGCAGGCGGUCAAUUAAGUCUGAUGUGAAAGCCCCCGGCUCAACCGGGGAGGGUCAUUGGAAACUGGUUGACUUGAGUGCAGAAGAGGAGAGUGGAAUUCCAUGUGUAGCGGUGAAAUGCGUAGAGAUGUGGAGGAAUACCGAUGGCGAAGGCAGCCUCCUGGGAUAACACUGACGUUCAUGCUCGAAAGCGUGGGUAGCAAACAGGAUUAGAUACCCUGGUAGUCCACGCCCUAAACGAUGUCAAUUAGCUGUUGGGCAACUUGAUUGCUUAGUAGCGUAGCUAGCGCGUGAAAUUGACCGCCUGGGGAGUACGGUCGCAAGAUUAAAACUCAAAGGAAUUGACGGGGACCCGCACAAGCGGUGGAUGAUGUGGAUUAAUUCGAUGCAACGCGAAGAACCUUACCUGGUCUUGACAUGUACGGAAUCCUCCAGAGACGGAGGAGUGCCUUCGGGAACCGUAACACAGGUGCUGCAUGGCUGUCGUCAGCUCGUGUCGUGAGAUGUUGGGUUAAGUCCCGCAACGAGCGCAACCCUUGUCAUUAGUUGCCAUCAUUUAGUUGGGCACUCUAAUGAGACUGCCGGUGACAAGCCGGAGGAAGGUGGGGAUGACGUCAAGUCCUCAUGGCCCUUAUGACCAGGGCUUCACACGUCAUACAAUGGUCGGUACAGAGGGUAGCCAAGCCGCGAGGUGGAGCCAAUCUCACAAAACCGAUCGUAGUCCGGAUUGCACUCUGCAACUCGAGUGCAUGAAGUCGGAAUCGCUAGUAAUCGCAGGUCAGCAUACUGCGGUGAAUACGUUCCCGGGUCU
rnacentral:rRNA from 1 species